UACGUAGGGUGCGAGCGUUAAUCGGAAUUACUGGGCGUAAAGCGUGCGCAGGCGGUUCUGUAAGACCGGUGUGAAAUCCCCGGGCUUAACCUGGGAACUGCAUUGGUGACUGCAGGGCUAGAGUGUGUCAGAGGGAGGUGGAAUUCCGCGUGUAGCAGUGAAAUGCGUAGAGAUGCGGAGGAACACCGAUGGCGAAGGCAGCCUCCUGGGAUAACACUGACGCUCAGGCACGAAAGCGUGGGGAGCAAACAGG
rnacentral:rRNA from 1 species